rnacentral:lncRNA from 1 species
AAUCUCUGAGACAAUUGAAAUAGCAUACAGUCAAAUAUUUACCUUCCUCUCAUAUGGAAGUUAUGUCAGUAGUCCAAAUCGGUGGUGCUAUUGCUCAUUUAAUUUUCUCAAGUCCUUUAGAAGAAAGUUAUCGGUGCCAUACAGGGUACCAGGUUUGCAUUUGGCUUUAGUGUCUUUGCAGAAAGAUAUGCAGAAAUCCAAGAUCUGCAAAUGCAUAUGAAAGGUUACUGAAGCUCUGUGGCUGGUCUCUCUAGAGCUCUGUGAAUGUUUCUCCAUUGUUGUCACUUAGGAGGAAGAAUCCAAGACAGAGUGCAGGCUGGCACAUGAACUGCGUGCAUUCUUACAGUUGUGAUAUUUGUUGCUGAUGAAUUUCAAAAGCAAGCCCUGUUUCCAACUUUUUGCCUGUCAAGCUCUCCUCUGCGAAAUUUAUGACAAGUGGGAAGCCUCCUAUGUGCCAGAAGUUAUUGCAGAGUGAGAAGAAAUACAGAUUGAUGAGGGGAACAGAAGCUGAAGUUACCCUGAAAAUGGAGCGGAGGGUAAAACUGGUCUAACAAAUAUUCUAGGAAGCUGAAUAAAUGGCAAGAAGAGGAGAGAGUAAUGUCACCAACCUAGAAUGUGUAAAAGCGCUUGGCAAGUUCCAUCUCUGCUUAAGUCCAAGAUGUGCUGGCAGAUGUGAUGAGCAACUUUCUGAGCUCCAUGGCUGCUUUCCCAGGAAGAAGACAUUAAGAUUCAUCUAUCCUCUGCUCUUUGGCUAUAGAAGGUUCGGACAAUUAGAGAAGAAUGUCAUUCUCUCCCACCAUGCAGUGCUGUGCAGUCAACCAAAGGUAGUCACUUCCUCUCACCGGAGAAACUGAACCAGCACUUCAUAGAGCCCCUUUGAAGUUCAUCCACCUGCCUAAGUCAACAGGCCGACCAUUUCACUGACUUUCAUCUCAGAUCAUUUACUUUGGUUAGGAAGGAUACUAUUAAGAAAUAGUUUCAUUUUUCUGCUAAAGCUGUCUUCUCUUCUUGAAGAAGACAUAUUGCCUUGAUUCUUGGGUUUUUUUUUUGUUUGUUUGUUUGGUUGGUUUUUUUCUAGUACCGGGAAUCAAACUCACGACCUCGCGCUUGCCAGGCAGGCACUGUGCCGCUGAGCUAAAUCCACAGCCCCCAAUUCUUGUUAAUUAAGAGAAUUUUUUUGGUAAUAUAGGUAAGGGGUCCCCAACCUCUUCCCCCAACCCUGCCCCCCAGGAGGUGAGUGGUAAGCAAGUAAGCAAAGCUUCAUCUGUAUUUAAAGCCACUCUCUGUCACUCACAUUACCAUCAGAGCUCUGCCUCCUGUCAAUCAGUGCAAAUAUUGUCUUCCACAAAACCAGUCCCUUGUGCUAAAAAGGUUGAUAUAGGUAUUGUCACUAUCGUAAUGUUAUGCAUGUGAUGAUCAACAUUUUGAAAGUGUUUACACUGUUUAAAAAAAUCACCAUGAGAAUGCAGACUAAGCCCACAGUCAGAGGUCCAGUGGACUGGGGUCACGAGAGCCGCUCGGAAGCUGUAAACCAGGAGGACCUUGCACAAUACCUGCAGAGACUCCCUGGAAGCCAUUCUUCCCCUGACAGUACAGGCUGUGGUGGAGCUCCAGAGAAGUCUGCAGCAGGAUUCCUGUGCUGACAGUUGGAGAGAGGACACUAACUGGUUGUGGGGUCCCAAUGCGAUGGGAGGCUGGAGAGAAAACGCUACAAAAAAUGGCUUUCGCCCCAGAUGGCUCACUUGAUUUUUGACAACCCUUAGGCUGUAACUACUUGUUAGAUCCUUCUUGUGUAUCUCUGUCUUCCUUAGAAACCACUUCUAAGAUACCACCAUGUAUUACAGCAGGCAUUGAUAUUUUCCUACUAAUCUAUCCAUAACUCUGCAAUGUUUGUAUUGUUCCUAUCCUAUUUCAUAAAUGGAUCCAUGUUUAUUAUUAUGUGUUUCCUACAACAACCAUUGAGAAUUAUUGAGUGAUUAUUCAGUAGGUCACUCAUGUAUAGUUCUAUUUAUAAUCUUUAGAAGCCACUUUGAAGAUACCUAAGUAUGGUACAACAACUAUUGAUAAUCUCCUCCCUCUUUUGUCUGUAACUCACUAGCAUUUGUCUAUUUGUUUUCCUGAGAAACUAUCUUAUAGAUAACAAUAUGUAAAACAAUAACCAUUGAUAAUUUCCUACCACUUUGUCUGUAAUUUGGUAAGCCCCUCCUAUUAUUAUGUUAUCCUUCUUUUACUCUUUUUUUUUUUUGUGUGUGUGUGUGUGUGUGUCUUUUUUUCCGGUACCAGGAAUCGAACUCACGACCUUGCGCUUGCCAGGCAAGCACUUUGCCGCUGAGCUAAAUCCCCAGCCCCCUUCUUUUACUCUUUAAAAUUUAAAAAAAAAAAAAAAAGAAGCUGUGGCAGGAGGAUCACCAUGAGUUUGAGGCCAGCCUGGGCCGUAUAGUGAGUUCAAGGCCAGCCUGAACUACACAGCAAGAUCCUGUCUCAAAAAACAAAAAAACAACAACAGAAGACCUUCUUUAAGGUUUUUAUCGUUAGUGAAUAUUGGAUUUUGUCAAGUGCGUUGUCUGCAUCUGUUGAGAUGAUUGUGUGGUUUUUGUCUUUGCUUCAGUUUAGGUAGUAGUGUAUUACAUUUACUGAUUUGUGUUUGUUGAACUAGCCCUGAAUUCCUGGAAUGAAUCCUACUUGGUUGUGAUGUAUGAUCUUUUUGACCAUUUGCUGCAUUCCCUUUGCCAGUGUCAUGUUGAGUUUUGCAUUUAUGUUCAUUAAAGAGAUUGGCCUGUAAAAAAAAAAAAAAGAAAGAAAUCACAGACAAAGAGAAGAAAAAUAAAUCUCCCCUUUGAUAAUGCUCAUGUGUCAUCUUAGAAUUAUUAGUUACCAAUAAGUCACUUUCUAAAGAAUCCUAUUUUUUUAAAAUUGUUAUCAUCUUGGCUCUUUGGGCACCAGCUGGCUUUGAUACCAGCUGUCUGAUGCUUGCACUGAGGUAAGCAAGUGUAACCAGGACAGCCUCAUUCAGCACAGGUCUGAGACCCCUGCAGGACCCCUCAUCCUUUCACUACAGAAAUGAUGAGACUUGCCUGCCCUCCAGAGCUGGAAAGGUUUUAUUUCAAACUAGCCAGAUUCACAUCAGUUUCUCACCUGUGCAUCCCUCUUGACAGGAGGUAUUUCUGCACAUCCUGGGACUCAUUUAGUUCCUUUGUUAUGUUGCUUUAGGGGGGAGCUCCCUGGCCUGCUUUUUCAUGUGGAAAUACACUUCUCACUCCAUUCUCUAAAGAGACUACCGUGUCUGUGGAUUGUUAAACAUAUUCUCCUGCUGGUGGAGGUUUACAACAGUUAGCCUCCUUUGUUGUCCAUUUUCUGGGAGUCUGCUAAAGGGCUUGAUCCCAGAUGGGUAACUAGGGAUUCACAGCUCAUGGUUUGCACUGUCAGCUGAGAAGAGCUUCUUGGCCUCCCCAACCCAGGGUACAAUUUGGAAAGUUCUGAUAAUUGCUCUGCAGCUGCUGAUGAUAAAAUAGAGACCAUUGUGCUGAGUGCUCUGUACUGAGUUAUGAGAUUCUUCUCACUUCUAGCUGGCACCUCCAGCUCCACCCAGGAGCCCUCCGGUGGAUUUAGAUUUUUUUAAAAAAAUUUUUUUGAGACAGAGUUUCACCAUGUAGUUUAGGCUGGCCCUGAACUUGCUAUGUAGCCCGGAUGGCCUUGAACUUGUGGUGAUCCUCCUGCCUCAGCCUCUCAGUGUUGGGAUUACAGGUGUGCACCACCACACCUGGCAUCCUCUCUUCCAUAUGUCCCAUGAUGCUAUAACCCCCUGGUCAGUCAGACAUCCACUCUGCCAUAUAACACAAUGGGUGUAUAUGCCCAGUGCCCUUCUGAGCGCUAUUCUAUUCCAUUAGUUUGGGUUAUUUUCUCUUCCUGUGUCGAUACAAUCUAUGCCUAUGAUAAUAGAAUGUUGAAUUAAUUGCUAUAAACUUUGACCCAGUAGCGCAAUCCCCCACACCUUAUUCUUUUUUCAUCAAGAGUGUGUUGAGGGGCUGGGGAUUUAGCUCAGCGGCAAAAUCGCCUGCCUGGCAAGCGCAAGGUCGUGAGUUCGGUUCCCGGUACCGGAGAAAAACCAAAAAAAAAAAAAAAAAAAAAAAAAAAAAAAAGAGUGUGUUGACUAUUUUUGACCUUUGUGCUUCAAAAUUAGUAUUCAAUUAAGCUUGCCAAGUUUAACUGAAAUAUCUGUUGGGAUUUGUGUUUUUAAUUGCUGAAUAUUCAGAUGCUUUGUGAUCAUUUAUAUCUCUAUGGCACCAAUUCUUCAAAUCCAUUUAUUUGUAAUAAUAAAAAAAGUAUUAGAUCUACAUUUGUUUUCAUUAAUGCCUUUCAUGAAAGUUAGAUAUCUUCUGAAAUAAUUCUCACAUGUAUUUGUUAAAUUUAUUUUCAGGUGCUUUCUAUUUUUAUUGCUAUAGUAAAUGUUAUCUUUUUACAGUUUCAUUUUCUAC